rnacentral:rRNA from 1 species
UAAUACUUGCAAGUCGAGCGGACAGAUGGGAGCUUGCUCCCUGAUGUUAGCGGCGGACGGGUGAGUAACACGUGGGUAACCUGCCUGUAAGACUGGGAUAACUCCGGGAAACCGGGGCUAAUACCGGAUGGUUGUUUGAACCGCAUGGUUCAAACAUAAAAGGUGGCUUCGGCUACCACUUACAGAUGGACCCGCGGCGCAUUAGCUAGUUGGUGAGGUAAUGGCUCACCAAGGCAACGAUGCGUAGCCGACCUGAGAGGGUGAUCGGCCACACUGGGACUGAGACACGGCCCAGACUCCUACGGGAGGCAGCAGUAGGGAAUCUUCCGCAAUGGACGAAAGUCUGACGGAGCAACGCCGCGUGAGUGAUGAAGGUUUUCGGAUCGUAAAGCUCUGUUGUUAGGGAAGAACAAGUACCGUUCGAAUAGGGCGGUACCUUGACGGUACCUAACCAGAAAGCCACGGCUAACUACGUGCCAGCAGCCGCGGUAAUACGUAGGUGGCAAGCGUUGUCCGGAAUUAUUGGGCGUAAAGGGCUCGCAGGCGGUUUCUUAAGUCUGAUGUGAAAGCCCCCGGCUCAACCGGGGAGGGUCAUUGGAAACUGGGGAACUUGAGUGCAGAAGAGGAGAGUGGAAUUCCACGUGUAGCGGUGAAAUGCGUAGAGAUGUGGAGGAACACCAGUGGCGAAGGCGACUCUCUGGUCUGUAACUGACGCUGAGGAGCG